rnacentral:rRNA from 1 species
CCUACGGGGUGCAGCAGUGGGGAAUCUUCCGCAAUGGGCGAAAGCCUGACGGAGCAACGCCGCGUGAUCGAAUGAAGGCCUUCGGGUUGUAAAGAUCUGUUGACAGGGACGAAUAAGCAAUGCGAAUAGUUUUGUGUAUGACGGUACCUGUUUAGAAAGCUCCGGCUAACUACGUGCCAGCAGCCGCGGUAAUACGUAGGGAGCAAGCGUUGUCGGGAAUUACUGGGCGUAAAGGGCGCGUAGGUGGGUGCUUAAGUCAGGUGUGAAAACUCCGGGCUCAAACUGGUGACUGCACUUGAAACUGGGUGUCUUGAGGGCAAGAGAGGAAUGUGGAAUGCCUAGUGUAGCGGUGAAAUGCGUAGAUAUUAGGAGGAACACCAGUGGCGAAGGCGGUCUGCUGGACAGCAACUGACGCUGAGGCGCGAAAGCGUGUGGAGCAAACAGGAUUAGAUACCCGUGUAGUC